rnacentral:piRNA from 1 species
UGCUUAGCAUGGGAGAUGGAAGAAAC